rnacentral:rRNA from 1 species
AACCCAAUGUGAACCAUACCAAACUGUUGCCUCGGCGGGGUCACGCCCCGGGUGCGUCGCAGCCCCGGAACCAGGCGCCCGCCGGAGGGACCAACCAAACUCUUUUCUGUAGUCCCCUCGCGGACGUUAUUUCUUACAGCUCUGAGCAAAAAUUCAAAAUGAAUCAAAACUUUCAACAACGGAUCUCUUGGUUCUGGCAUCGAUGAAGAACGCAGCGAAAUGCGAUAAGUAAUGUGAAUUGCAGAAUUCAGUGAAUCAUCGAAUCUUUGAACGCACAUUGCGCCCGCCAGUAUUCUGGCGGGCAUGCCUGUCCGAGCGUCAUUUCAACCCUCGAACCCCUCCGGGGGGUCGGCGUUGGGGACCUCGGGAGCCCCUAAGACGGGAUCCCGGCCCCGAAAUACAGUGGCGGUCUCGCCGCAGCCUCUCCUGCGCAGUAGUUUGCACAACUCGCACCGGGAGCGCGGCGCGUCCACGUCCGUAAAACACCCAACUUCUGAAAUGUUGACCUCGGAUCAGGUAGGAAUACCCGCUGAACUUAAGCAUAUCAAUAAGGCGCAGGAA